ACCGUGAAGCUGCUACCGUGAAGCCGGCGUCGGUCCUUCUCUUUUUGCCACCGGUAACUUGGUUUAUGACAGUAAGUUGAAUCCAGGAUCUUGUUUUCUAGUAUUUGGCCUUUGUAUGCAUAUUUGUUUCUGUUCCAUGUUCCAUAGGUAUGAGUUUGGUUUUUGAUGUUGCAGAGGAACGAAUUGAUGAGGUUGAGUCAUGAUAAAGUGAAUGGGAUGGAGCAAUGCCACCAAUGGCUUUCAGAAAGUUUUGACAUUUGGUUUAGAGUAUAAAAGAGAUGUUCUGCAACAAGUCAUUCUUACUCAUAUAGUGCUAUAUUGUGUGACUUUUACAACUAUGACAUGGAAAAGAAAGAAUCUGGUCUACUUUUAACUAAGUUCUCACAGAACUUGGUGCUGUUAGGGGCAUUGUUCUUAAUUGGCAUGAAGAAAUCAAUUCCCAAGAGACAACUCAAGAAAAGACUCCGAAAACCAAAACCAAGGGUCUACUUUCUUGUUCGACAUCUGCUUACCUUGAGGAAUCCAUGGAUUUGUAUAUUUGUAUGCUUAUAUCAAGGCUUUGUUCCUUUAAGUAGGGAAAAUAGGGCAUAUUAAUUUGACAAUUUGAUACUGUUAAAUACUAAGUUAAG